GUUGCCCCUCCCCCAUCAUUCUUAGGUAACUGGUGCUCCCCCCCCCCUCCCCUGCUUUGCUUCCCCUUCAGAAAAAGGAGGAGUGGGGUUGAUACACACAUUCAUCACAGUCCUCAUUAUUUUGGCAAGGGAAACAGAUGGGAAUCAAGUCGUCUUUUUCCUGUCAGGGAGGUGAUGAAGGAAAUGUCAAUAAACUGAACAGUUUGCUCUGAGACUGCCUGGCUCGCGAUCCUGGAGCACAGCAAAAUACAACGACGUACCCUGAGGAGAAAAAGACAGAUUGGGAGCCACUGGGGAAACCCGUGCUACACAUGAAGACUCCUUAACCCAGCCGUCUUGCUUCUUUCUCUGGUUCCGGGCUCUCUCCCACCAGCACUGCCGACAAACACGCAUGUCUCACGCAUGCACUCAUGGAGACUGGUCCACUGUCACCAGACAGAUCUUUUCCCACACUGGAUGGUAAAGCCGCGGGGUUCGCCGCGACCACGGGGCUGAUGAAGGCUUGCAGGUGAGCUGCUGAACCCCGGCUCGCCCUCUGAGGAGCUAGAGACACUGUUUUGCAUUCAUUCCCCCGGGUUUCCUCCCUCCUUCCUCUCCUCUCACCACACAAUAUGAAAAUAUCCCUAGACCAAGAAUUGCCUGUUUAUUAUGCUGUCUCAGAUACAUAUCCCAUUAUAUGGGGAUGGAUGAAAAGAGAACCUGUACGGGUCUAUUUUUAGCAGAUGGCUUGAACGCUAUAAAUUUUAGGGUGCUUCGCGUCCCUCCCCCUCCUCCGCCCCUUCAAGCCUGUCAGCUGUAAAAUGGGUCUCUCUUUAACCCCUAAUGGAUCCAGAAGAUGAAAGGUGAACUCUUGAAUUAGCGGUGCUGACAGCCCAGCCAAGCCCGGCAGCAGGGGGUCUCUUUUGUCCCGGCCACUCUGACCUCCCUCGCCCUGUCUGUCGGUGGGAACCGGACCAGAAGAAUGCGGGGCGGAGUUAGAAAGCACCAGUGGCCGCCCCGCGCUGGGCCACCCGCCGGCCCAGCCCGCGGGAGAGUUGACAUUCUUCAGCGGCGGAUAUUCUGACAUCAUCGAACACCUCCACCCUGCUCCAGCCCCUCCAGGCCCGAACGCUUUGCAAAUGAGGACAAUGGGGCUGGUGGCAGAGCCACCCCUAGCAGGGAAUGCGGGUGCUUGCCUGUGUUUAUCGGAGAAGUAAGUGUUUUGGUGUUACGGCUUGCCUUUGGCCGGAAAGGAAAAUUCUCUUCACUGAGCCGGCUGCGCUCAGGCCUGCUUGGCAUUAAGGAGGAGGUGGAUUGAAAGGGCGUGUAUCUCACAAUCGGAUGUGCAUACUGUCCAGCUGGGGCCUUCAUUUGUUCCACAGACUCUUUUGACUUGUAAUAAAAUACUCUUCUAUGAGCA